CCAGCACUAAUGCACCGGA
rnacentral:snRNA from 1 species